CCCGGCCGGGGCCGCUCCGCUGCUGUCAGCCCUCGGGCCUCCCAGCCAGACUGGUUCUGAACCGAUUUAUCAGGGGGUUGCGGAGAGGGCCGGCGAAGCGCCAGGAAAUCCCCAGGCUGAGGAGGCGCGGGGGCGUUGCAGGAAGGGGGAAGGGAAAAGGCAGAAAACCUGGAGAAUGAAAGCGAACUUCCAGGGGCGUCCCCAGCCUCCUGCAAAAGGGCAAUUUGCUGAUCGCCCACUUCCUCGCAGUUACGGGAUAGAGAGAAUCAUCACUGAGUCAAGCUUCGGCUGCUUAGGGCGGUGGGAAAAGUCAUUAUCUAUAAUAACCCGCCGGAAAUUUUGAGGAGAGCUACUGACUUGGGGGUUUCAGUCAUCUGAGGCUGGCUUCCGCUGUCCCCUUAGUUGUGGGUGGUGAUUUGCUUACUAAUCAGAUGGGAGCGGAUUCUGAAAAGAACAUUUAUAUUUGGGAAUCAACUCAGCUCAGCAUCAGACAUUACGAAUACUGCAGUUGGUCACAUUUUACUAUGUGAAGGGCAGAAAGGGAGCCCAACAGUCUUCAUAAGCCAGACCUAGUCUCUAAGGUCACCGGCACAGACGCAGGGUCUAAAGCAGGAAAGAGGUGCGACUGGAAAGGAGGUUAGACAGGGCCCUGCGGGAAUGGAUCUGCCCGGAGCCCUCGCCUGGUUUUGCUUGAGACUCCGACAAGACUCCCAAUGCUUCUCUCCCCGACCCUAUCCCCACUCCCUCCAUCCUGGAAAAGCCAGUGAGCAAAGUUAACUCUUUCUUCUAAGAAACCCUGAGUGAAAUCUUGCUCUUCCUUUCUGCUAGAGUCCUGAAACCCUUUCGCUUCUCAUUGUGGGUUCACCAGCACGUGGUCUUCGGACACUGAGAGCACCUUCGCUCUCAGCUGUGAUCCUAGCUAGCCCAGACACCAGUCUGUACCCAAAGGAAGAGUAGGAAGUUGCAAAGGGAAGCUGGCUAACAAGGGCUUCUUCUGCCCUACUUGGCAAAGGCCCAUACGGGUGGCCUCCGUGGAUAUGGAGCUCCUUCAUUUUGUUCCAAAAAGAGCUCUGCCAGGCUUUACCAUUGCCCUGGAGGUGCACAGGCGCCCGUAUACUCGAGCACAACCAUGGGCUCACCCCAAGCGCGCACACCUGCACCCACGCGUAAGGAAGAACCACACAGCUAUCUCUGUCGGGGAAGAACACGAGGAGUGAAGUGCUUUAGGUGGAAACUCCUCACAUCUCCUUUCUUUCCUCUGCUCCCCCUCUCUGCCCCUGGUACUCCGGAUCCAAUCCUUGGCUUAGGAAUCCACUCAAGCCACGUCUGGCUGCUUUGUUCCAGAGGAGCGCAGCUCCGAGACUGCACUUCAGCGGUGCAGCCUCCCUCCAGGUCGGCGAGCGGCGCCAGAUCCGGGACUUCAGGGUCUCCGCGGGAGCUUAGGAGGCUCAGGAUCUGAGUUGGAGAGCUGGAAGGCCAAACUCCGAGCCGCUGAGGGACUGCGCAGGAAGACCACAGAAAUAAACCAAAGGGACACCGCGGACAGAUGUACCAGAGGACACCACUGAAGUCCAGGAGAAUCUCCACCAAAACCAUCAGCGUUUUCCUUGUAGCUUUCUGUCCCUCGAAGUGGAAAGUUGAGGUUUCUGAGAAGUCCACGGAGAGAACCUGCAGCAAACUGAAGCCACAGACUCCGAAGGCAUAGGGAGAAAAAAUGCUUCCAUCCCCCUUUCACUUUAAACUUGAUCGCUUCUGGGACUUCACUGGAGGGCGGUGGAGUUGCACCAACCUGGAGUACAGGCAGAUCCCAGCGAGCACUUCCAAGUACUUUAGGACGUGGGGGUGACUCUUUUUUCUUCAGGAUUGUCCCACUUGCCACCCUUUCCAGCUGAGCUGAUAGGAACCAAUGAAAGUCUAGGCGAUGAGGAUUUUCCGUUACCUCAGGGAUCAAAGUAUAAAAUGUUGAAUGAGAAACCCGAAGACCUUGCAUCGCUGGGCUGAAUAACUUGUUUUCUUUUUUAUGGUGUCCAGACUGAGUUCAUUUUUCUGAGGACCAAUGGUGAUAAGUGUUGGUCUGCCUAUCUUCCCAGAAUAAUCCAAGAUUUGGGGAAAGAAAGAGUAUUUUGCUAAUUUCAGCAAAGAAACAUAUAUUGGGGAAAGGAUACUGUAUUCAGUAAAUUGUGCUGGAAAAAGUGGUAAGCCACAUGUAGAAGAAUGAAACUGGAUCCCCAGCUCUCACCUAAUACAAAAAUCGACUCAAGAUGCAUCAAAGACUUAAAUAUAAAACCUGAAACCUUGAAAAUUCUAGAAGAUAACACCAGAAAAACUCUUCUAAAUGUUGGCUUACGCAAAGAAUUCAUGACUAAGACACCAAAAGAAAAUGCAACAAAAACAAAAAUAAAUAAAUGGGACUCAAUUAAACUGAAAAGAUUUUGCACACCAAAUAAAUAAUCAGAAGAAUAAACAGAAAACCCACAGAAUGGAAGAAAAUAUUCACCAACUAUGCAUCUGACAAAGGACUAGUAUCCAGAAUUUACAAGGAACUCAAACAAAUAAAUGAAUUCAAAUAUCCCAUUAAAAAGUGUGCAAAGGACAUGAAUAGACAAUUGUCAAAAGAAGAUAUACAAACAGCCAAUAAACAUAAAAAAAAAUACAGCAUCGCUAGUCACCAGGGAAAUGCAAAUUAAAACCACAGUGAGAUUCCACCUUACUCCCGCAAGAAUGUCCACAAUUAAAAAGUCAGAAAACAAUAGAUGUUGGCAUGGAUUUGGUGAAAAUCACAUCAGUGAAUACAGAUUUGGGAAGAAAUGUGCAUAACUGGUUUCAGCUAGCCAACACGCUGGUCCCAGUAUACCACUGGCUACGGCAUUCUAAAAGUGUCCUCAUAUGUAUCUAUUAAAUAUUCAAGAACUUUGACCAAUAUAUUCUCUGCCAAAUGCUCUCAAGAAAUCUUGGUGGAGAUGGUGUCGGGGUAAGGUGGGGGUUUUUCCGAAAUGGAAUCAUGUUAAUGUGGACUUAAUGUUAAAAUAUGAAUUUUCAAAAAAAUUUGCUUUACUUUCAGUAGGCUAAAUACCUACAUAGUAAAAUUUAAAAAAAUCUGUAAUUCUCUCUUAAUUUAUUCAUUAUACUAUUAUAUGUGGUAGGCAUUUUUUUCCUGGCUCUCAUAUCAUUUGUGUUUGUUUUAUACUAAUGAAAUACAGAAAAACUCUGUAGUAUAUAGAGCCCAAUGGAACUUUUAAGAGUGAGAAUUUUAAUUUGUAUAUUAUGGAAAAGUCAUCUCAGAAAUAUUAGUUUAUAAAUAUGCAGAUACAAUUUCUAGAAUGUCAAAAAAUAAUCCUUUCACCUGAGUUGUCUUAAGUAAAUAACUUUUAGGAUUUUUAAUUGGAUUAUUUAUGUAAUCAUUAUAAAGGAGAUCUGAGGUAAAUUGCUUAAGCAUUUUCUUUAGCUUUUUGCAAGACUAAAAAUGGAGAAUAAAUAUUUGCUCAAAUAUCGAGUCAAACUAAUUUUGAAGAGAAAUCUCUAAAUACUUUAUUAAAUGACCAAAAUAUAAGAAAAUGUUUAAAAAGACUGCAAAUAGAAACACAUCAGUUUAAAGCACACAAAGAGAUAAGUGGAAAAAGUAUUUUCUCAGAACAUGCUAAAAAAAACUUAGAAUAUCCAGGAUACUGCAUUUAUUCAUCCUUACAACAUGAAUUUUAAAUAUCUUAGCGACUGUGCUAUCAUUUUCAGUGUUCUGUAUGAAUUCUUACCUUCUCAGAAGAUUAUGUAGAUAUAACAGAUACUUCUGGAAUAUAUAUCCAUGAUAAGAUUUGUCUUUUUACAGGAGAAAAGAAAAUAUAUCAAGUCCAACAGAACUUAAGAAAAUACAAUUUAAUUAACUUUAUAUGAUAUAGGCCUUGUUAAUAUUAUAUAUCAAAAAAGAAUUCUAGUUUAUAUUCUUUUGUCUGUAAGAUGGGGGAGCUGUUGCAUUAUAAAAAAUACUGGUCAGUUCCAUUCCUCUAAGCAUUUUCUUUUGAUUAAAAUCAUUUGUAGUAAAAAUGAUGACCCAAACCUUUGUAAAUGAUAUUUUAGCUGGGUUAUAAUCUAAUGAAAUUGUGAUUUUAAAAGUGCUUCAAUUACUACAACUAUAAAAUCUUGGUUUACUAGGAAUAUGUAUAAGGUGAAGUAUCCAUUAUUUCUUUAACAUCAGUAUAUAUUGUUUAACAUUCUGCUUUUGGGCUAAGACUUCCUAGGCUUUACAGAAGAGAAGUUGUUUAUCUGAACAGUGUAAAAAUAUGUGUGUGUGUGUGUGUGUGUGUGUGUGUGUAUGUGUAUAAAAAUAUAUGUUCUGUUGUUAUUUAGUUAUGUCUUCCCUGAAAACACUGAUAGAUCCAACAAGUCUCUUGAUUCCUCUUAAAGAUAAGCAAGAAGAAGAAUAAAGUAUGUCACACUUAAACUUGAGUAAAUCCAAGUUGGAAAAACAGAAGCAGAUUUUUUUUUAAUCCUACAGGAUGAAUGUUGAGAGAGACAAAAAUAUUAACACCACAUAAAUUAUAACCUAGAGAAAUUCUAAACCAGGUUGAAAACCUACGCAUAAGCAGUCAAUAAUUAUCUUACACUUAUGCAAUACAAUUUUUUAUUACAGAAAGAACUUUAGUAAUUACCUCAUGCUGUAUAUAUGGGAAAGGAGAUAAGGAAGAAAAACUCUUUAUAGUAUGCAAUUAGUUAUCUCCUGCCUUAUCUUGGUAUUUGUAGAAACACUUGGAAGUAGGAAAAGUGAACAUUUGUAUCCCUGUUCUAUAGUUUAAAAAAUUGACACACAUAAGUUAUUUUUAAUUUAUCCAGUUAAUCACCAGUAAUCAUGAUGCUUUAUGAAUGACAAUUCUUUUAUAUUUAUUCAAAAAUAUGGGGAAAAUAAAUGACAUCUGCCUAUAUAACUUAAAAUUCUUGAAGAAAAUGUGUAUAGGAAUAACUUGGUAUGAAAUGUUAUAGAAAUGUUAGUUCUUUGUCUCUUAUAGUUACAGUAAGUGGCUAAUCAUCAUGUCUACGUUUAUGUAUAAUUUAUUUACAUUUUAAAAUGUUCUAACCUUGAAUACAUAGGGAACAAAUAUCUGAUGAUAGGUGUUUGCAAGGCAGCAUCAGUGAUUUUUCUUGAUAUUUUAUCUGAAAUAUCUGAGUAUCUACUAGGAAUCUAACAUGGAAAGGUAAUUACAUAUGAUGUUGGAAGCAAAUUUGUAUACACCCUAUUUAUGGCCAAGCAAAACAGUGUAAUGUGUCUGAGCAUGUAUGUGUUCCUUUCACCAGUUUUCUUGUGGUAGAAUUUAUAAAACUGCAUAUAUUCACAAUGUACAAUGUGAUGGUUUGACGUAUAUAUACAUUGUGAAAUAAUUACCACAAUCAAGUCAAUGAACACAUUCAUCACCUCAGCGUUUUCUAAAAUUACAUUUAUCAAACUGUAUUUGAAAGUAAAUGUGUUUUCUCAUUGUUAACCACGACUUUAAAACUUUAUUACAGAUUAAUGUUAAGAAAGCUACUGAAAUUAAUUUUAGUAAUAAAACAUCUGAAUAUACACCAUGAAAUGUAUAAAUGUAUGUGCUGAUUUUAGGAGUACAACUAAAUAAGUAAUGCAAACUUACUUGCAGGAUCAUCACUUUAACUCUGUCUCUCUCUCUCUCUCUCUCUUUAUAUAUAUGUCUCUCUCAUAUAUAUGAUAUAUCUUAUACAUCUAACUAUAUAUAUGUAGAGGAAGAAAGAGACACUAUAGAGUAAUACAACCUUUCCAUUAACUGCAUAUAAAGUCAGCCUUAUAAUAAUGCCCCUGGAUUAUCUGACCCUUUAAUAAAAUGUUAUACAUAUUUAGAGACUUGGAUUGUGCCUGUUUUUACUAACAGUUGUUAUUUAAAAUAUUAUUAGUAAGUUAAUUCAUAUAAACCAUGCAGAGAAGCUGUAUAACUGUGCAUAUAAAUAGUGAAGAGAAACUGAUCUGGCAUUCAGGGAUGUUGAGAUUAUUCCAACUCCGCUGCCAAUUGGCUGUGUGUCUUUGGAGAGGUCACAUAAUAUCUCCGAGCUAUAGUUUCCUUAUCAGUAACAUAGACUAGAUGAUUUUUAAAAUUUCACUCAGCACAUAAUUUGAUCUCUAACUUAAAAGAGCUGGAAUAAAAAUCACCACUAAAAAUUAUUAGCGUUACUAUGGUUGUACUUUGUUUUUAUACAUUACAGGCAUUAAAAACUACCUAGAGUUAAUUAGUAUUCGACAAAAUUAUUUCUUACAAAUCUUACGCUAUUCUGUAACGCAUGGGUCUAAUAUGUAUUUAAUGUAGCUUUCGUACAACUGCAAAAACUUCAAAGCAUAUCUGAACUUGUGGGUUUUGUAAGACUUGAACGCUAUAAAUGAAAGUAAUGGAAAUUUUAUUAUAUUCUAUUAUCGAUUGUGUGAUUAGAGUUGUUGAGUGGUAACUCAGUGUCUCAUGUGUGUGAAAGAGAGAGAAAUGAUGACAGUUGUAAAAGCCUAAGAUACACAAGACAGAAUAGUGGUUAGGAUCAUAAGCUUGGAAAUUAGAACCGAUAUUUUACUUCCAGUGUCUGCCACAUCUCAGUGGUAUGACUUUGGGAAAGUAGUUUAAUUUCUCUGAGUUACUUCAUCUGUAGUAUGCAGAUUACAAUAGCCACCGCACAGUGGGUAUAAAGAUGAGUAAGGUUAUAUUUUUGAACACGUAGAAGAGUAUCUGACAUACAAUAAGUGUGUACCGUUAAAGUAUACUUAAACAAAAUUUAAUAUUAAUAAAAGCUAUAUAUAGGUAUAUGGUUUUCACUUUUUGUUGUUGUUGUUAUUAUUGUUUUUCUUCAGUGCUGGGAAAACUGGCUAGCCAUAUGUAGAAAGCUGAGACUGGAUCCCUUCCUUACACCUUAUACAAAAAUUAAUUCAAGAUGGAUUAAAGACUUAAACAUUAGACCUAAAACCAUAAAAACCCUAGAAGAAACCUAGGCAAUACCAUUCAGGACAUAGGCAUGGGCAAGGACUUCAUGUCUAAAACACCAAAAGCAAUGGCAACAAAAGCCAAAACUGACAAAUGGGAUCUAAUUAAAGUAAAGAGCUUCUGCACAGCAAAAGAAACUACCAUCAGAGUGAACAGGCAACCUACAGAAUGGGAGAACAUUUUUGCAAUCUAUUCAUCUGACAAAGGGCUAAUAUCCAGAAUCUACAAUUAACUCAAACAAAUUUACAAGAAAAAAUCAAACAACC
rnacentral:lncRNA from 1 species